GAUGAACGCUGGCGGCGUGCUUAACACAUGCAAGUCGAACGGAAAGGCCCUGCUUUUGCUGGGUGCUCGUGUGCCGAACGGGUGAGUAACACAUGAGUAACCUGCCCCUGUCUUAGUGAUAUCUUUAGGAAACUCGGGCUAAUAUCGGAUAGGAGCUCCUGCUGCAUGGUGGUGGUUGGAAAGUUUCGGCGGUUGGGGAUGGACUCGCGGCUUAUCAGCUUGUUUGUGGGGUAGUGGCUUACCAAGGCUUUGACGGGUAGCCGGCCUGAGAGGGUGCCCGGCCACAUUGGGACUGAGAGACGGCCCAGACUCCUACGGGAGGCAGCAGUGGGGAAUAUUGCACAAUGGGCGGAAGCCUGAUGCAGCAACGCCGCGUGCGGGAUGACGGCCUUCGGGUUGUAAACCGCUUUCGCCUGUGACGAAGCGUGAGUGACGGUAAUGGGUAAAGAAGCACCGGCUAACUACGUG
rnacentral:rRNA from 1 species